rnacentral:rRNA from 1 species
GUCUAUGGCCAUACCACCCUGAACACACCCGACCUUAUCUGAUCUUGGAAGCUCGACAGGGUCAGGCCUGAUUAAUACUUGGACGGGAAAUGAAUGUACUUGAGUUGGAGGGAAGAAGGGGUAUGGUUG